CCUACGGGUGGCUGCAGUGAGGAAUAUUGGUCAAUGGACGAGAGUCUGAACCAGCCAAGUAGCGUGAAGGAUGACUGCCCUAUGGGUUGUAAACUUCUUUUAUAUGGGAAUAAAAUGUUCCACGUGUGGGAUUUUGUAUGUACCAUAUGAAUAAGGAUCGGCUAACUCCGUGCCAGCAGCCGCGGUAAUACGGAGGAUCCGAGCGUUAUCCGGAUUUAUUGGGUUGAAAGGGAGAGUAGGUGGAUUGUUAAGUCAGUUGUGAAAGUUUGCGGCUGAACCGUAAAAUUGCAGUUGAAACUGGCAGUCUUGAGUACAGUAGAGGUGGGCGGAAUUCGUGGUGUAGCGGUGAAAUGCUUAGAUAUCACGAAGAACUCCGAUUGCGAAGGCAGUUCACUGGACUGCAACUGACACUGAGGCUCGAAAGUGUGGGUAUCAAACAGGAUUAGAUACCCUAGUAGUC
rnacentral:rRNA from 1 species